AAGCGGUCAGUGCGUUCGGUAGUGAAGUACGCCGAGCAACAGCGCGAACCGUGAUGCGGAGCGAAAACAAGUAGUGAAGCAGGUAAAUCCAGGCCGGCGAGAAAAGCCGCUAUCGAGCUUAAAGGCGCCCGUACCGCAAACCGACACAGGUAGGCGAGGAGAGAAUCCUAAGACGAACGGGAGAACCCUUGUUAAGGAACUCGGCAAAAAGACCCCGUAACUUCGGGAGAAGGGGUGCCUCCGCGAGGAGGCCGCAGUGAAGAGGCCCAAGCGACUGUUUACCAAAAACACAGGUAUCUGCGAAAGCGAGAGCUGACGUAUAGGUGCUGACGCCUGCCCGGUGCUGGAAGGUUAAGGGGAAGUGUUAGGGGCAACCCGAAGCACAGAACCGAAGCCCCAGUAAACGGCGGCCGUAACUAUAACGGUCCUAAGGUAGCGAAAUUCCUUGUCGGGUAAGUUCCGACCCGCACGAAUGGCGUAACGAUUUGGGCACUGUCUCACAACAAGGGACCCGGUGAAAUUGAAGUAUGUGUGAAGAUGCACAUUACCCGCGACUGGACGGAAAGACCCCGUAGAGCUUUACUGUAGCCUGAUAUUGGAUUUCGGCAACAGAUGUACAGGAUAGGUGGGAGGCUAAGAAGCGAGGACGUCAGUUUUCGUGGAGCCACUGUUGGGAUACCACUCUUCUGUUGCUGGAGUUCUAACUUACAGCAGUUAUCCUGGGUAAGGACAGUGUCAGGUGGGCAGUUUGACUGGGGCGGUCGCCUCCGAAAGAGUAACGGAGGCGCCCAAAGGUUGCCUCAGAAUGGAUGGAAACCAUUCGAAGAGUGUAAAGGCAGAAGGCAGCUUGACUGCGAGACUGACGAGUCAAGCAGAGACGAAAGUCGGGCUUAGUGAUCCGGCGGUAGAGAGUGGAAUUGCCGUCGCUAAACGGACAAAAGCUACCUCGGGGAUAACAGGCUGAUACCCCCCAAGAGUCCACAUCGACGGGGGUGUUUGGCACCUCGAUGUCGGCUCGUCGCAUCCUGGGGCUUGAAGCAGGUCCCAAGGGUUUGGCUGUUCGCCAAUUAAAGCGGCACGCGAGCUGGGUUCAGAACGUCGUGAGACAGUUCGGUCCCUAUCCAUCGUGGGGUAGGAGUCAUGAGAGGAGCUGUUCCUAGUACGAGAGGACCGGAAUGGACGUACCACUGGUGCAACAGUUGUCCUGCCAAGGGCACGGCUGGGAAGCGAAGUACGGACGGGAUAAACGCUGAAAGCAUCUAAGCGUGAAGCCCCCCUCAAGAUAAGAUAUCCCAUCCGCAAGACGGAGUAAGGCCCCUUGAAGACUACAAGGUUGAUAGGCCGGAGGUGGAAGUGCAGUAAUGUAUUAGAGCUGACCAGUACUAAUAGGCCGAGGGCUUG
rnacentral:rRNA from 1 species